AAAUGAUUAAAUUGCCCUCCCAUAUAAAUGGGUUAUUGCAAAGACUCAGUUAGCAUUUUCUCCUUCCUUCUCCGAAAACCUCACUCGCGACCCUUGCUCGACAAAUGGCAAAGAGAACCCUAAACUGCCCAAGCAUCGCUCUUUCCGGUUCAUCUCUUUCUCUCUCUCAUUUUUGUCUCUACCUAACUCGAUCAUCGUCUCCGUUUUUGCUUCCGAUUACUUGUUUUUUUUUUUUUUUUUGAAUUUGUAGAGAUGGCAAGUAAAAAAAAAUAGGGAUAGGGAAAAGAGAGCUUGGAAUGUAUUCUGGAUUUUGCGAAUUGGGUUUUUUGUAUUUGUUUGUGGGUUUUGUUAUUUUAGAUUCUGCGUUUCAAUUUUUGGGUUUCAAUUUUUGAGCUUUGUGUUUUAAUUUUUGGAUUCUGGGUUUUAAUUUUUGGGUUUUAAUUUUUGAGUUUUGUGUUUUAAUUUUUGGAUUCUAUGUCUUAAUUUUUUAGAUUCUAGAUCCUCUCACAGAACGUGAAAAAGUGGGUUUUUACUAUGAAUUUUUGCUUUUUUAGCUUAAUUUUAAUUAUUCUUUCUGUUAGUUGUUAAGAAAUGGAUAAUUACUUUAUCAAGUUCCCUAGUAGAAAAUCCUCCUAUAGCCUACUUUUGGGAUGUUAGUAGCUUGCAGUGGCAUUCAAUCAACAUAAACAUACUUAUGCUUCUCUGUUCGUGAGUGUGUGUGAAUAUUUUAGUUAAUACUUCAUGUUUAGCUUGCGCAAAACAUGCAAAUGUGUCUUUAUGCUUCAGACAAUUUCAAUUCUUUGAAAUGCGGAAGCACAAGGACAAAGUAAAACUCUCCACUUAUGCUUAAUGGAUAUAUAGGUAAGACAAUGGAUAUACUUGUUUGAUUCAAGGUUUACUUACACCUAGGAGAUUUGGCGAAGCACAUGGGUAGUAUAGAAUAAUGAUCAAGGAGGGCAUUGAGCUUGAUAAUAUCUUUUGUACUAUAAUAAGUCAAGGAUUAUCAUAUGCUAGUAGAGUAAACGAUGCUUUGAACUUCUUAAGAGAGAUGAGCAAGAAAGGUUUGGUUUUAGAUGCCUACUGUUGCAACUUUUAAUGCUCUUAUUGAUGAACUUUGUAAGGCUUCUAAGCUUGAGGAAGCACAUUUUUUAUUCUACAAGAUGGAUCAGUUAUUCAGGUUCAAUACAAGAACGAUUGUGAGAAACUUUAUGGAAAGAUUGUUGACAAUUGUAAUGUUUUAUCCUCUGUUCAAGGCUCUUGUAAAAGGCAAAACUGAAGAAACUUGGAAUAGUUUGUAUCCAAAUGAAUGUUUUCGCUUAUUUUCUUAUAUCUUCUUUAAAUUUGUUACUCGGUUCUUUUGUAAUAAAUGUUUUUGGGUGUUCAUGUCGA